CAAUGUUAGUGAUUGUCAUCAAAGAAUGACAUUUCAAUGUAUGGGAAAGUACUGGAGGACAUUCAAAUCAAGAUUGAGAAAACAAAUUAGAACUCAAGUUGAAUCAUCUGUGAAUAGAGCACGCACUAUUACCCUUCUUAGACCAAAGAAUGUCAACUCUGAAGAAGUCUGGAUUAAAUUUGUUGAGGAUACUCUUUCUGCUGAUUUUCAUGUAAGUAUAUUUGCAUGUAAAGUUUAACCCUUAUUUUAAUUAUUGUUGUUUUAUACUUUGUUCUUUUUUCAAUAAGAGAGA
rnacentral:lncRNA from 1 species